rnacentral:lncRNA from 1 species
AGGUGAUUCCUGUGGAUCAUGACACAAAUCCGACACCACCAAUUCCGAUCUUGAUUGCCUCUCCCAAGGAUGCAGGAACAUACCCGGUCGCCAUGCUCCUGCAUGGUUUCUGCCUCCAGAACCAUUUCUAUAAACAAGUUCUCAAACAUAUUGCCUCUUUUGGCUUCAUCAUGGUUGCACCCCAGGUUAACUAUCACUGCCUUCUAAUGUAUUUUACAUGCACUGUAUAGUCUAUGUUGAUUCAGAAACGUAGAAACUGUGAUGAUUACAGCAAGAUACCACACUAGAUCACAACUGCAUAAUCACGAUGAGAAUUCAUGU